UACAGAGGUCUCAAGCGUUGUUCGGAUUCAUUGGGCGUAAAGGGUGCGUAGGUGGCGGGGUAAGUCAGGUGUGAAAUCUCGGGGCUCAACCCCGAAACUGCACUUGAUACUGCCUUGCUCGAGUACUGGAGAGGAGAUUGGAAUUUACGGUGUAGCAGUGAAAUGCGCAGAUAUCAGGAGGAACACCGGUGGCGAAGGCGGGUCUCUGGGCAACAACUGACGCUGAGGAGCGAAAGCGUGGGGAGCGAACAGG
rnacentral:rRNA from 1 species